rnacentral:tRNA from 1 species
GUGGCUCAGUGGCAGAGUGCUUGCCUUGCAUGCAUGAGGCUCUGGGUUCAAUUCCUCAGC